rnacentral:rRNA from 1 species
CUAUACGCGGGCUCCACCGAAGUUUUCUCAGGGGCUCAGGGCUUUCUCUCCCGAGCCAAACACCGCCGCCACCGCCGCCGGAAGAGGGGGGUUCGCCGCUGGCAAGUCUUCCAGGAUGGGGUACCACCGCAAUAGGCGCGGGCGUGGAUCCUCGUCGUCGUCCUCCUCCUCCUCUUCGCGCCGCACCAAGCAAGAAGCCUCGUGCGAUGAUGCUCCUGGGACAUCACUUCCAAGGCAGGAAGACAACGCCGAAGAGGAAUCUAAUAGCCCAAAAAUUCAGCUUGCAAUGUGGGACUUUGGGCAAUGCGAUGCUAAAAGAUGCACUGGUCGCAAGCUUUCAAGAUUUGGGCUGUUAAAGGAGUUGCGAGUUACGAAUGGUUUUGGUGGUGUUGUUCUCAGCCCUGUUGGGACACAUUGUGUGUCCAAGGAAGAUCAUCCUAUCGUGCAACGAAAAGGAUUGGCCGUGGUUGAUUGUUCUUGGGCACGUUUAGAUGAUGUCCCUUUUGUGAAACUCCGUUGUGGUGCUCCUCGUCUCUUGCCAUGGUUGGUAGCAGCAAACCCUGUAAAUUAUGGCCGGCCAUGUCAGCUUUCCUGUGUGGAAGCUUUGUCAGCAGCCCUCAUAAUAUGUGGGGAGGAAGAGACAGGAGAACAGCUGCUUGCGAAAUUCAAGUGGGGUCACUCAUUCUUAUCACUUAACAGGGAUCUGCUGAAAGCAUACUCCAAGUGUGAAAAUGGCACCGAGAUAAUCAACGUGCAGAACUCGUGGCUGUCAAGCGCAUCUAGUGUUUCAAAGUCACCUGUAAACGUGGCAGAUAAACCACACCGAAGCACAGAGGAAGGAUCAGAUUCUGAAUCUGACGAUGGCUUGCCCCCUCUGGAAGAGAACAUGAACCACUUGGACCUUAGCGAGGACGAAGAAAGUGAAGAGGAAAGUGAAACUGAAAACGAAGGGAUUACCAACGCAAAAUGAUGUUUGUUUGUCCGAAUCAAAAUAAGAUCCAGGUCUCUUGAGGUGUUGGUCGUGGAUCUGAAAACAAUCUAUCUCUGUACACUCGUAUUGCUUGCUUGCUUCGUGUAACAGUAGAUGUAUUUUUCUUUUCAGGGAUUCGUGUACCAGUAUAUGUAAGUGUAAACUGUAAACACACACUCUCUUUG